UCAGGCCUAACACAUGCAAGUCGAGCGAGACCUUCGGGUCUAGCGGCGGACGGGUGAGUAACGCGUGGGAAUAUGCCCUUCGGUUCGGAAUAGCCCCGGGAAACUGGGAGUAAUACCGGAUACGGUCUACGGACGAAAGAUUUAUCGCCGAAGGAUUAGCCCGCGUUGGAUUAGGUAGUUGGUGGGGUAAUGGCCUACCAAGCCGACGAUCCAUAGCUGGUUUGAGAGGAUGAUCAGCCACACUGGGACUGAGACACGGCCCAGACUCCUACGGGAGGCAGCAGUGGGGGAUCUUAAAGAAUGGGGGAAACCCUGAUCUAGCCAUGCCGCGUAUUUAUGGGAGGCCUUAGGGUUGUAAAGCUCUUCAGCUGGGAAGAUA
rnacentral:rRNA from 1 species